rnacentral:rRNA from 1 species
GAAAAUUCUUAAUUAGCCAUGCCUAGUUUGCACGAGCUUACACUCGUGGCGAAAAGCUCAGUAACACGUGGUCAAACUACCCUACAGAGAACGAUAACCUCGGGAAACUGAGGCUAAUAGUUCAUACGGGAGUCAUGCUUGAAUGCCGGCUCCCCGAAACGCUCCGGCGCUGUAGGAUGUGACUGCGGCCGAUUAGGUAGACGGUGGGGUAACGGCCCACCGUGCCGAUAAUCGGUACGGGUUGUGAGAGCAAGAACCCGGAGACGGAAUCUGAGACAAGAUUCCGGGCCCUACGGGGCGCAGCAGGCGCGAAACCUUUACACUGCACGCAAGUGCGAUAAGGGGACCCCAAGUGCGAGGGCAUAUAGUCCUCGCUUUUCUCGACUGUAAGGCGGUCGAGGAAUAAGAGCUGGGCAAAACCGGUGCCAGCCCCCGCGGUAAUACCGGCAGCUCAAGUGAUGACCGAUAUUAUGGGGCCUAAAGCGUCCGUAACCGGCCAUGAAGGUUCCUCGGGAAAUCGGCGUCCUCUGUGGGGGGCGUCCGGAGAAAAAAGUGCUUUGCGACUGGACCGCUCAAGG